rnacentral:rRNA from 1 species
GACGAACGCUGGCGGCGUGCUUAACACAUGCAAGUCGAACGGAAAGGCCCUGCUUUUGUGGGGUGCUCGAGUGGCGAACGGGUGAGUAACACGUGAGUAACCUGCCCUUGACUUUGGGAUAACUUCAGGCAACUGGGGCUAAUACCGGCUAGGAGCUCCUGCCGCAUGGUGGGGGUUGGAAAGUUUCGGCGGUUGGGGAUGGAAUCGCGGCUUAUCAGCUUGUUGGUGGGGUAGUGGAUUACCAAGGCUUUGACGGGUAGCCGGCCUGAGAGGGUGACCGGCCACGUUGGGACUGAGAUACGGCCCAGACUCCUACGGGAGGCAGCAGUGGGGAAUAUUGCACAAUGGGCGGAAGCCUGAUGCAGCAACGCCGCGUGCGGGAUGACGGCCUUCGGGUUGUAAACCGCUUUCGCCUGUGACGAAGCGUGAGUGACGGUAAUGGGUAAAGAAGCACCGGCUAACUACGUG